rnacentral:rRNA from 1 species
UACAGAGGGUGCAAGCGUUAAUCGGAAUUACUGGGCGUAAAGCGCGCGUAGGCGGUUUGGUAAGUCGGAUGUGAAAUCCCCGGGCUCAACCUGGGAACUGCAUUCGAAACUGCGUGGCUAGAGUUUGGGAGAGGGAAGUGGAAUUCCACGUGUAGCGGUGAAAUGCGUAGAUAUGUGGAGGAACAGCAGUGGCGAAGGCGGCUUCCUGGCUUAGAACUGACGCUGAGGCGCGAAAGCGUGGGUAGCAAACAGG